rnacentral:rRNA from 1 species
AUUGAACGCUGGCGGCAGGCCUAACACAUGCAAGUCGAACGAGUGGCGGACGGGUGAGUAAUGUCUUGGAAACUGCCUGAUGGAGGGGGAUAACUACUGGAAACGGUAGCUACUACCGCAUACCAUCGGAUGUGCCCCGAUGGGAUUAGCUAGUAGGUGGGGUAAAGGCUCACCAAGGCGACGAUCCCUAGCUGGUCUGAGAGGGUGACCAGCCACACUGGGACUGAGACACGGUCCAGACUCCUACGGGAGGCAGCAGUGGGGAAUAUUGCACAAUGGGCGCAAGCCUGAUGCAGCCAUGCCGCGUGUAUGAAGAAGGCCUUCGGGUUGUAAAGCACUUUCAGCGGGGAGGCGUUACCCGCAGAAGAAGCACCGGCUAACUCCGUGCCAGCAGCCGCGGUAAUUC